UACGAAGGGAGCUAGCGUUGUUCGGAAUUACUGGGCGUAAAGGGCGCGUAGGCGGACAUCUAAGUCAGGGGUGAAAUCCCAGGGCUCAACCCUGGAAUUGCCUUUGAUACUGGCGAUCUUCGAGUCCGGGAGAGGUGAGUGGAACUCCGAGUGUAGAGGUGAAAUUCGUAGAUAUUCGGAAGAACACCAGUGGCGAAGGCGGCUCACUGGCCCGGUACUGACGCUGAUAUACGAAAGCGUGGGGAGCAAACAGG
rnacentral:rRNA from 1 species